rnacentral:lncRNA from 1 species
GUAAGUGUGUGCUGUUACUGUGUUAGUAUAUGAGUGUGUGCAUGUGUGAGUGCAUGCAUGUGUGUGUACUGUGUGUCAGUGUGAGUGUGUGCAUGUGUGAGUAUGCACACAGGUGUGUGUACUGUGUGUCAGUGUGAGUGUGUGCAUGUGUGAGUAUGCACACAGGUGUGUGUACUGUGUGUCAGUGUGAGUGUGUGCAUGUGUGUGCACAUGUGAGUGUGCAUGUGUGCACACAUGUGCACAGUUAAAGAAAAGAGUGGUCUUAGGCUUCCUCAAGCCACAUCUUCCCCCUGGUGUGCCCGAGACGUUGUGGUUCUACGAGGUCGGUCCCCCGACACCCGGGCUGCUGUCCGGCUGCCCUCCACGUGCCACAGGACCCUGCACGUACCCCUCCCGCAGCCCAGGGGGCGGUGCCUCCUGCUCGGGGUGCGGGGCCUCGCUGGUGGCAGCAUGAGCACACCGUCACCGGGAGCUGGAGCUCAGCCGGGCCCCUGCCGCCCGCUGCCCAUCCUCCCCUCCGCCCCAUCCGGUGCCCCGGCCUCUCUCCUUCCCCCACACCCCAGAGGCAGCCCAGCAGCAACGUCACUCCCAGAGUGAGGCAGAACCAGCCCUCGCCGGGCCCCACCCAGCCGAGCCGGCCGCCUGGCCUGGCUGUCCGAGUCGGACCACCUCAGCCCCGGGUCCGGCACCCGCUCCUCCCCAGCCGUCCCCAGCCCCCACCUGUCGCCUCUGCUGUCACACAGACACCAGGAAGGCUCCAGCCCAGGGCCUCUGCACCGCCCGUGCCCCAGCUGCCGUGCACGGGGCUUCUUCACCUACUCAACAGGGGCCUCGCCUCCCCAGCCCCCGCAGUCCCGUUCUCGCCGAGCAGAGAUGUGACCACGUGUUCACACAGCACUGUAGACUCCCGAAGCCUUGCCCACGUGGGCCGGUCAGUGCUGGACGCCAGCCACGAGCCACAUCCACGCCUCUGCUGGUCCCCGCUUUGGGUAAGCGGAAAGCGGCUCUGCUCCUGGGUCUGUCCCUGGGGGAGCUCCAGGCCCAGCAGUCACACCCCCACGGUGUGUGGGCAGAGAGCAGGUGCCAGGGACUAUGUGGCGACCUGACCACCACGCUUGGAGCUCGGCUGGCCUGGAGCUUGGCUGGCCUGGGCUCCUGUCCUGAGCCUCUUAACCAGACUGACCCGCGGGGUUCGCCCUGUGGUGAGCAAAGCCCUGCGUGGGCAUUGGCUGGGUCCCCGGAGCUCCAUCCAGACAGAGUACUUUGUGGCUGGGUCUUCUCAGUCGGACCCAGACUGGCACCGCCUCCACGUGGCAGCCCCGCCCUCCAGCUUCCCACACGUGGCCUCCAGGCAGCACCCAAGCCGGGCGCCCCUGCUCUCUGUGUCUCUCUGGCAGCUCACAGCCGCCAGAUGGCAUCUGGAGACCCCCGUGGGCAGGGGCAGCGAUGUCAGGACCCCAGCCUGUCCCCUCUCCCUGGUGCAGCUGGGCCUGGACAGCGGCAGGGGCCCCCU